rnacentral:rRNA from 1 species
CCUACGGGAGGCAGCAGUGAGGAAUAUUGGUCAAUGGACGAGAGUCUGAACCAGCCAAGUAGCGUGAAGGAUGACUGCCCUAUGGUUUGUAAACUUCUUUUAUAUGGGAAUAAAAUAUUCCACGUGUGGGAUUUUGUAUGUACCAUAUUAAUUAGGAUCGGCUAACUCCGUGCCAGCAGCCGCGGUAAUAUGGAGGCUCCGAGCGUUGUACGGAUUGAUUGGGUUUAAAGGGAGCGUAGGUGGAUUGUUAAGUCAGUUGUGAAAGUUUGCGGUUUAACCGUAAAAUUGCAGUUGAAACUGGCAGUCUUGAGUACAGUAGAGGUGGGCGGAAUUCGUGGUGUAGCGGUGAAAUGCUUAGAUAUUACGAAGAACUCCGAUUGCGAAGGCAGCUCGCUGGACUGCAACUGACACUGAGGCUCGAAAGUGUGGGUAUCAAACAGGAUUAGAUACCCUAGUAGUC